rnacentral:rRNA from 1 species
UACAGGGGGGGGCAAGCGUUGUUCGGAAUUACUGGGCGUAAAGGGCCAGUAGGCGGCCAACUAAGUCACACGUGAAAUCCCCAGGCUUAACCUGGGAACUGCGUGUGAUACUGGAUGGCUUGAAUUCGGGAGAGGGAUGCAGAAUUCCAGGUGUAGCGGUGAAAUGCGUAGAUAUCUGGAGGAACACCGGUGGCGAAGGCGGGUCUCUGGGCCGAUACUGACGCUGAGGAGCGAAAGCGUGGGGAGCGAACAGG